rnacentral:rRNA from 1 species
AGCCUAAUACAUGCAAGUCGAACGCCCUCUUCGGAGGGAGUGGCAGACGGGUGAGUAACGCGUGGGAACCUACCCAGAGGUUCGGAAUAACUUCGGGAAACCGUAGCUAAUACCGAAUACGUCCUCCGGGAGAAAGAUUUAUCGCCUUUGGAUGGGCCCGCGUCGGAUUAGCUUGUUGGUGGGGUAACGGCCUACCAAGGCUACGAUCCGUAGCUGGUCUGAGAGGAUGAUCAGCCACACUGGGACUGAGACACGGCCCAGACUCCUACGGGAGGCAGCAGUGGGGAAUCUUGCACAAUGGGCGCAAGCCUGAUGCAGCCAUGCCGCGUGAGUGAAGAAGGCCCUAGGGUUGUAAAACUCUUUCAGCGGGGAAGAUAAUGACGGUACCCGCAGAAGAAGCCCCGGCUAACUCCGUGCCAGCAGCCGCGGUAAUACGGAGGGGGCUAGCGUUGUUCGGAAUCACUGGGCGUAAAGCGCACGUAGGCGGAUCAGUCAGUCAGGGGUGAAAGCCCGGGGCUCAACCUCGGAACUGCCCUUGAUACUGCUGAUCUUGAGAUCGAGAGAGGUGAGUGGAAUUCCUAGUGUAGAGGUGAAAUUCGUAGAUAUUAGGAAGAACACCAGUGGCGAAGGCGGCUCACUGGCUCGAUACUGACGCUGAG